AGUGAACGCUGGCGGCAGGCCUAAUACAUGCAAGUCGAACGGCAGCACGGCAGAGCUUGCUCUGUGGGUGGCGAGUGGCGGACGGGUGAGGAAUACGUGGGAAUCUGCCCAGUCGUGGGGGAUAACGUAGGGAAACUUACGCUAAUACCGCAUGCGCCCUUCGGGGGAAAGCCGGGGAUCUUCGGACCUGGCGCGAUUGGAUGAGCCCACGUCGGAUUAGCUAGUUGGCGGGGUAAAGGCCCACCAAGGCGACGAUCCGUAGCUGGUCUGAGAGGAUGAUCAGCCACACUGGAACUGAGACACGGUCCAGACUCCUACGGGAGGCAGCAGUAGGGAAUAUUGGACAAUGGGCGCAAGCCUGAUCCAGCCAUGCCGCGUGAGUGAAGAAGGCCCUCGGGUUGUAAAGCUCUUUUGUCCGGAAAGAAAAACCUUGGGUUAAUACCCUGAGGUUCUGACGGUACCGGAAGAAUAAGCACCGGCUAACUUCGUG
rnacentral:rRNA from 1 species